rnacentral:miRNA from 1 species
AAAACCAAAAGGAAGUUUUU